GCUGGGUGUGGUGGUGCAGACCUGUAAUACCAGAGGCUUGGGAGGCUGAGGCAGGAGAAUCUUGAGUUCAAAGCCCGCCUCAGCAACUUAGUGAGACUCUGUCUCUA
rnacentral:sRNA from 1 species